GCUUUACUGUAACUUGAAAUUGAAAUUGGACUUUAUUUGCGCAGUAUAGGUGGGAGGCGUUGAGUUUAUUCUUGCGGGAAUUUAGGAGCCAUCAGUGAGAUACCACUCUGGUAAUGUUAGAUUUCUAACUUUGUAUCAUGAUCUGGUCAAAGAACAGUUUCAGGCGGGCAGUUUGACUGGGGCGGUCGCCUCCCAAAUGGUAACGGAGGCGUACAAAGGUUUCCUCUGAACGUGUAGAAAUCGUAUCUAGAGUGUAAAGGCAUAAGGAAGCUUGACUGUGAGACCUACAAGUCGAGCAGGGACGAAAGUCGGUCUUAGUGAUCUGACGGUGCUG
rnacentral:rRNA from 1 species